CGGGGUGCACCAGGCGCGAAAACUCUACAAUGCAGGCAACUGCGAUAGGGGGACAUCGAGUGGCAUCCACCUUGGGUGCCUGUCCCACCGUCUAAAAAACGGUGGUUAGCAAGGGCCGGGCAAGACCGGUGCCAGCCGCCGCGGUAAUACCGGCGGCUCGAGUGGUGGCCGAUAUUAUUGAGUCUAAAGGGUCCGUAGCCGGCUUUGCAAGUCCCCUGGGAAAUCCAGCGGCUUAACCGUUGGGCUUUCAUGGGAUACUACAUUGCUUGGGACUGGGAGAGGUAGGAGGUACUCGGGGGGUAGGGGUGAAAUCCUGUAAUCCCCCGGGGACCACCGGUGGCGAAGGCGUCCUACCAGAACAGGUCCGACGGUGAGGGACGAAAGCUAGGGGCACGAACCGGAUUAGAUACCCGGGUAGUCCUAGCCGUAAACGAUGCCCGCUAGGUGUCACGGCGGUCGUGAAUCGCCGUGGUGCCGUAGGGAAGCCGCGAAGCGGGCCACUUGGGAAGUACGGCCGCAAGGCUGAAACUUAAAGGAAUGG
rnacentral:rRNA from 1 species